rnacentral:rRNA from 1 species
GAUGAACGCUGGCGGCGUGCCUAAUACAUGCACGUCGAGCGAACAGAUGAGGAGCUUGCUCCUCUGACGUUAGCGGCGGACGGGUGAGUAACACGUGGAUAACCUACCUAUAAGACUGGGAUAACUUCGGGAAACCGGAGCUAAUACCGGAUAAUAUAUUGAACCGCAUGGUUCAAUAGUGAAAGACGGUUUUGCUGUCACUUAUAGAUGGAUCCGCGCCGCAUUAGCUAGUUGGUAAGGUAACGGCUUACCAAGGCAACGAUGCGUAGCCGACCUGAGAGGGUGAUCGGCCACACUGGAACUGAGACACGGUCCAGACUCCUACGGGAGGCAGCAGUAGGGAAUCUUCCGCAAUGGGCGAAAGCCUGACGGAGCAACGCCGCGUGAGUGAUGAAGGUCUUCGGAUCGUAAAACUCUGUUAUUAGGGAAGAACAAAUGUGUAAGUAACUAUGCACGUCUUGACGGUACCUAAUCAGAAAGCCACGGCUAACUACGUG